rnacentral:lncRNA from 1 species
ACAAAAAUGAGAUUUGAUGAAUUAUUCUUAACCUCUGUCUUGUCGGAACUCAUGAUAGAAGAACCGAAUCAUAUGGUAACUAUAUCUAGAGGUUUAACCAUUCGAUUCUGAUGGAUUACUAUUACAUAUUGCUAUGUAUCACUGAUGGAUCGUGAGACCAAUUAGAAUUAUCUCGAUGAUCAAUAAUUCUAAAUUGGAUGAAUUAGAAGGAGUUUCAAUUCAUCGAAAAAAAUUUCGAUGAUAUUUAUGAUGGAGAUCACGAUAUAUCUUACUACCAAACAGAAUUGAACCUAUGGGGUCACACAAACAAAAAUAUUAGUCUAGGAUUGCACAAUUAGGCUCAAGUAAUCUAAUUGGAUUAGGAUUAAUUAAGUCCUAAUUUUAAAUUUUAAAAAAUCAUGCUAGCAUAUGAUUAAACCCAUUUUCUCCUUGAUUUGGGUUCCCUAUUGGAUAGAGCUUGACCAAAUCAAAGCAAGCUCUUUAGGACAACAAGAGUAGAGUCCCUAAAAUCUUCCCAUAUAAAAAUUAAAGGAUGGGGGCGCUAAUAUUUUUCUUCAUGAAAUAUAUAGGAGAGAAAGAGUGGGACGCCCAAAUGGAUAAGAUCCAAAGGGCAUGCGCCACUUAUGGAUAAGGAUGAGAGGAUAAGGGCUUCAUCCUAUUUGAAUUUGAAGAGUUCAAAUUUGAAAUGAUGGAGGGAUAG